rnacentral:misc_RNA from 1 species
GAUGAAGAACGUAGCGAAAUGCGAUAAGUAAUGUGAAUUGCAGAAUUCAGUGAAUCAUCGAAUCUUUGAACGCACAUUGCGCCCGCCAGUAUUCUGGCGGGCAUGCCUGUCUGAGCGUCAUUUCAACCCUCAUGCCCCUAGGGCGUGGUGUUGGGGAUCGGCCAAAGCCCGCGAGGGACGGCCGGCCCCUAAAUCUAGUGGCGGACCCGUCGUGGCCUCCUCUGCGAAGUAGUGAUAUUCCGCAUCGGAGAGCGACGAGCCCCUGCCGUUAAACCCCCAACUUUCCAAGGUUGACCUCAGAUCAGGUAGGAAUACCCGCUGUACUUAAGCAUAUCAAAAGCGGAGGA